CUUAGGAAGUCUCAUAUCACCCAUUCUCUUCAUCCACAGGUUGGUCGAGCUUUCUCCUUCAACAAAACACCGUCGAAGUUGAAGCGUGCCGUCUCAACGAUGAUGACAUCCCCCUUCGGCAGCACACAGUCGCUGACUCCAGCCUCCCAAUUGGCGCAAAUGAAACUGGCAAGCUGUACGAACAUAAACGAAGUCGGUGAGGAGUCAUCCGAAACGGACUCGAAAGCAUCUUCGUCGCCAUCGUCGGCGUCGGAAAUCCUGGUGGCACCAAUGUCCGUCCAACCAACCCGCAAAAACAAAAAUCCCCCGAUGUCGAUGGCAGCUCUUCGACGGUUCUGAUCCUGGAAAACAGCAAAACCAGUACCAAGGUGGGUGGAGCCUGACUCGUUGUUGGAAGGGCUCAUUAAGGGUACCAUGUUGUCGUUCCGGUUUCGUCUUUUGUGUAUGUUGUGAUUUAAUUUUACUGUUAUUUUUCUGGUCGUUCGUCGAAUUUGGUACACUAGAGAAAAAAAUAUCAGGAAAAGCAGGAAUAGAGAGAAAUAUAUAUAAAAAUAUUGUGCCAACAUCACACAAUCACGAAAAAUAUCCUCGAUUUUUUCUGUGGAACCCAGACUGGAAGCUUUUAUUUCACCUCUUAGUGCAGAUAGAUAAGUAUAAGGGAGGGGGAUUUGAAAGAUUUUUUGCUUCCUGUUGCACUGGUUCCAAAUUGCUCUACCAUAAGAAACAUGUAUAGAAAUAAAGAGUGCAGUGUCCCAAAGCUUGAGGAUUUGCAAGAUAAUCAGCGAGGAAAGCUUAAAGAAUAAUAUGUUGUAAAUAUUUUACCUUUUGUUGGGAAUUGAGCGAGCGGAUGCGAGAAUACAAGAUAGAAAACCAGGAAAUAGAAUGCAACUGUAAUAGCAUAAGGUGAAUAGGAUUGCUUUUUUUUCCUCUGAUAGGUUUAAGAGUUCCGUUCGUAGCUCUUAUUAUUCUUUGUACGUGUACGUCCUUCGUGUUUUAAGCUAAGCGAUUAUGUUAUGAAUAGAUAGGUUUUUGUGCAACACAGAGUCAACGAGAGAAACAAGACAAAAGACAAUAGGAGAAGAAAAUGUGCGUCCUUUCGCGGUCUGAAAUUUCACAAUGCAUAUAUAUAUAUAUGCAAGAGACAAGACAGAUUAAAUUUUGAUGGCAUAUUAAUUUGAGCUCGCAUCAGGAAAUGCGAGCACACGCAGCCGAGUGUAUUAUAUCUAUCAGGUUGUUUGAGUUUGUUCUGAGUACGCUUUUGAUGUAGACCAUUUAAAAAUGAUUGUGAACGAGUGAAAAGAGCUGAAAGACAAUAUAGCAAGAUGAAAGGAUACUUUUUUCCUUUUAUGAAA